GACGAACGCUGGCGGCGUGCUUAACACAUGCAAGUCGAACGGAAAGGCCCUGCUUUUGUGGGGUGCUCGAGUGGCGAACGGGUGAGUAACACGUGAGUAACCUGCCCUUGACUUUGGGAUAACUUCAGGAAACUGGGGCUAAUACCGGAUAGGAGCUCCUGCUGCACGGUGGGGGUUGGAAAGUUUCGGCGGUUGGGGAUGGACUCGCGGCUUAUCAGCUUGUUGGUGGGGUAGUGGCUUGCCAAGGCUUUGACGGGUAGCCGGCCUGAGAGGGUGACCGGCCACAUUGGGACUGAGAUACGGCCCAGACUCCUACGGGAGGCAGCAGUGGGGAAUAUUGCACAAUGGGCGGAAGCCUGAUGCAGCAACGCCGCGUGCGGGAUGACGGCCUUCGGGUUGUAAACCGCUUUCGCCUGUGACGAAGCGUGAGUGACGGUAAUGGGUAAAGAAGCACCGGCUAACUACGUG
rnacentral:rRNA from 1 species